rnacentral:rRNA from 1 species
AGCAGCCGCGGUAAUUCCAGCUCCAAUAUCGUAUAUUAAAGUUGUUGCAGUUAAAAAGCUCGUAGUUGAAUUUCGGGGUCGGUAGGUUGGUCGUGCCACUGGUAUGUACUGGUCUUACUGAUUCUUCCUUCUUGUAGAACUGUAAUGUCAUUAAUUUGGUGUUGCAGGGAAACAGGACUUGUUACUUUGAAAAAAUUAGAGUGUUUAAAGCAGGCUAACGCUUGAAUACAUUAGCAUGGAAUAAUGAAAUAGGACGUUCGAUCCUAUUUUGUUGGUUUCUAGGAUUGACGUAAUGAUUAAUAGGGAUAGUUGGGGGCAUUAGUAUUCAAUUGUCAGAGGUGAAAUUCUUGGAUUUAUUGAAGACUAACUACUGCGAAAGCAUUUGCCAAGGAUGUUUUCAUUAAUCAAGAACGAAAGUUAGGGGAUCGAAGACGAUCAGAUACCGUCGUAGUCUUAACCAUAAACUAUGCCGACUAGGGAUCGGAUGAUGUUAAUUUUUAAUGACUCAUUCGGCGCCUUA